ACUCUGUUCAGGUGAAUGGUUAGGAUAAGUUUAUGAAGUCCAUUCCUAUUCAUUUGAAAACCUUUGUUUCCUUACUUUCUCGGAAGCGAGCCAGUCUAUUUCGAGAUGCCCUGGGCACGACUCUAGCUUACUUGUUUGGAAAGUGAAAACGGCUAUGCUUUUCAUUUUCCAGCUUGAAGACAGAAACGACUGACAUAGGAAUAAGGAAGGGAGAAAGGCACGAACGCACUAAUCGAUCUCGAAGAAAAGUUUCUACGAGAUCUUCAGCAGGCGCCGUCACGUGUUCACAAUGCUUUACGGAAUGUCGGAAAGUUUCCUCUCAUCAUCACUACCAAUAUGGACGAGUUGGUAGAGCGCUUUCUCUGGAAGACUGGGAAUGGCGGCGAGAAACUACGAUUGGACCAGAUUUCUUGUCUCUCCCAGUCCUGGCCAGACCUGCGUAGAGAUGUGAUCAUCAAGUGCCUUGGGGACGGUGGUUUUACCGUGCGGCCGUUG